ACUGGCUCAGGAUGAACGCUAGCGACAGGCUUAACACAUGCAAGUCGAGGGGCAGCAUAAAAGUAGCAAUACUUGGUGGCGACCGGCGCACGGGUGAGUAACGCGUAUGCAACCUACCUAUCAGGAGGGGAAUAACCCGGCGAAAGUCGGACUAAUACCGCAUAAAACAGGGGCACCGCAUGGUGAUAUUUGUUAAAGAAAUUCGCUGAUAGAUGGGCAUGCGUUCCAUUAGGUAGUUGGUGAGGUAACGGCUCACCAAGCCGACGAUGGAUAGGGGAACUGAGAGGUUGGUCCCCCACACUGGUACUGAGACACGGACCAGACUCCUACGGGAGGCAGCAGUGAGGAAUAUUGGUCAAUGGGCGGGAGCCUGAACCAGCCAAGUCGCCGUGAAGGAAGAAGGAUCUAUGGUUCGUAAACUUCUUUUGCAGGGGAAUAAAGUGCAGGACGUGUCCUGUUUUGUAUGUACCCUGAGAAUAAGGAUCGGCUAACUCCGUGCCAGCCGCCGC
rnacentral:rRNA from 1 species